GUAGCAACACAUGUCCGCAAAGUAAUGGUAAUAUGGUGAUGAAUCAAGAUGGGAAUGAUUUUUAAGUCUUGUAUCAUAAGUAGUUUUAUCUGUCGUUGAUGCUAUAUUUUAUUUUGCCCUGGGUGAUUUGAUUUGGGGCAGGUUUCCGAAGUUCAGUCGAGACUCAAGACCACGUGUUUUAGAGACGAAGUAACGUUAGCUAGCCUCCCCCUCUUAGCAUAGUUUGGGUGAGGUCAGUUGAUUUAACAGUUCUUGUUGUUUGUUUAAUUUUGGUUAAGUAUUUAAAUGACUUGACGUUACCCAGCGGUAGUCAGCAGUUCAGACCUGUACCGUGCCUGAACUAGUGUUACACUGCUGGAAAAGAAAGGCGCAGCCAGUUUGACUCUACCCAGAUGCUGCUGUUUUAGUGGUGUCUGAUUCUGAGUCAUGGCUGUGCUGUGUCCCCUCUGAGAGUUGAAUGUUCCCAAAUACACUGGGGCAUUCCUAGUCUGGGGACAAACAUUCAUUGCUUCCCAUAUAGAUGUGUACUGGCCAUUUCUGUACCCCUUUUUAAUCAUUAUUCAAAUCUUGCCAUUUUUGUUCAGGAAGGAUUGGCCCUCCAGUGGUGUGAAGUGGCAAUUUUGCCCUGGAAUGGUGGUUAAUCAUCGUCAUGAUGUAGGUGUAUAACUCCAGAACCCGCUCAGGAUGUUAGAAGGGCGUAAGUGUAUGAAUCGACAACCCGUGCCUGCUCAGGAUCUGUAGUAGGUUUGUAUUGGAAGCUUUUUUUCAAGUAAGACGACAACUGCAUCAGUUAACCUUCAUCUAGUUUAUAUUGUAUCAAGUGUUAUGAGGAAUUUGUGUAUAUGUUGAACAGGAGAAUGUAUUUGAAUAGCUGUUGCUGUAGUCAGCAUUUUAGUCUGACAACUAAUGUAGGAACCGUGUCAGUUUGCAGUGCCUUGAUUUACAAUUCAUUAAGUGCUAAAGUCUUUUUACUAUAGUAAAAUAAGUCUAGUCUUGUUUGUGCCAAAAUUGCAGUCUUUACUCGAGUGUGAAUACUGGUAACUGGUCAAUUCACAUUACCUGUGCUCGAAUGAAAUGACUACUGAUGUAUGUUUGUUUCUCAAUAAAAGGGUGGAAAUGUC